GGCUUGGUGGCGCUGGGAGCGCGUCUGCAUCUACUGUCGUUGCUUCGGUGUCCAUGACGAAUGCAGAAGGUGCCCGUUCGACUCGGGCCUGAGCCA